AGUGAGGCAGGAGCAGUCGGCGCCCACACGCCGGAUCUGCCGCACCCGCUGCCACCCACAGUCCUCUGGCGAGCUCUCAGAUGGGAGGAACAGGAAGCUCAGCGGGCUCCAUCCCCGCCUUUUGCAAGAAGAUGACUCUUCUGCCAGAUGGGAGGGGACGCCCACCUCCGCCACGCCAGCUUCUGUCUUCCUCCCGGUGACGGCACCACAGCUCCCCCGGCACCGCGUACAUUCCUGAAGUGGUGCCCCCACGAUGCCUCGGAAAGUAACCAUGGCCGCCCUCAUGGCAGCUCACCUGUUUUGGGGUAUUUUAUUCGCAUCUGCAGAGUAGAGAGGAACAUUCCAGAAUGUGAAGACUUCAGAACGUGGACCCUGGGUUCUGGAGAGCAGGUGGCCUGACUUUUAGCUGGGAGCUGGGGGGAUACACCCACAACUCAGUGGGAGGACCCCCAGCCGCUCUGGAGACCUGGCUUUCCAGUAGGUCUGCAUAGCUCUGAAUUGAUUUUGGAAGAAACCGCCCUGAACUGUUUUUCUCACUGCCCUGUCUGGAAAAAAAAAACAUCACCUUGUAACUUUAUGUAAAUGAGCCACAUAGCAUGCUCCUUUGCAGGAGGGGCUCAGCA
ensembl:lncRNA novel transcript